GGUAAACUUGCCCUAAUACCCUUACCCGCCCACCAUUAUCUUCAUUCCCCCCAAUUUGUUCGUAUGACUCCCCCAUCGUCCCAUUACCUCCGACACCGGUUUAUCUUCUCCCAACCACCACAUCCGCCGCCCCGUUUUGCGCGCCCCAACCACCACCUCCGACUCCCACAAGAUGUGGAACAGCAAUGGUGGUUGUUGGUAUUGACCUGUAUAUUUUCAUUAGCAAUUUUCAUAUCACAGACAAGAUCAUGAGGGAGCAACUAGUAGCAGAUCGAUUUUUUUUUGUUAUUUCCCUGUUGUACGGCCUCCUUUCACCCACUCUAUGCUUAACAUCAUUUGGUUUGAAGAUUUUACUAGGUUUUAUUCUAAGGUAAACUUAUCAAAUCUGACCAGUCUUAUGAACCACAUGGGUUUGUGUUGGUUUUGUUUAUAAUUGGAUACCUGUGCUAUAAUUUUGAUUAAAUAUCUUAUGAAACCAUUGAUAAAUAUACGAAGAAAGUUAAGUCUUCCAUGAGAUGAUUUUUAAUGUUAAGUUCAACCUAGUAAAUAAAAUAUGUAAUUAGAGUGAUUAUGUUAAAUAUAAGAUUCUCUUUCUUGAUUGGUGCACAUAGGGGUGCAAACGAGCCGAGCUCGAGCUUAUCUAACUUUAGAAAGCUCGGCUCGAAUCGGGCUUCGUAUGGAAAGCUCAGCUCGGCUCGUAGGUAAAUAACAAACUACAGCGCAUGAUGAAUCUUAUUAUCCUUCUCUGGAAUACAUUCCAACACAAGAAGAGAUUAGCACUUAUUAGCUUAUGUUUGAGGAGGACCGACCUAAGUUCAUUCCAAAACGGUAAUGUCAAUAGUAAUUUUUUAUUCCCAUUUUUUAUUGUUGCUUUAGUUCUAGCUAUGAAGAUACUAAUAUAUCUAUACAUGUCAAUCUUGUAGAUUCACAUCUUUGAGAAGUGUUCCAGCUUAUGAAAAGAGUGUUCGGGAAACCUUGAUCGAUGUCUAGAUCUGUACUUGUUCCCAGAGCAAGAAAGAAGCGUGUAGCCAUAGUCCUGGAUCAAGUCGAGGAAACGCUCUCUCAUGGCAAUAGUUCAGAUCACGGGCCGAAGACCCAGCUUCAAAAGCCAAUACAAUCUUGUCAUUUUCUCCAUUGCCAACUAGCAGUCAUGCAGCCACCCCUGUUGUUGCUGCUGCUUCUUCAAUCCUUACAGAAUUGCACCGAAGCUGUAAAGGAUUUGCGCGUGCUGGAUUUUGGAGGAGCAGCAAUUAGCGUUCAUUAGUGAAUAAUGGCGAUUUUGUAAUUUAAACGUGCUUUUAUGUUAUUUGUUUUUGUUAAACUUAUGUUCCGAAUCAUAUUUAUAUUUAUGAUUAUGCAUUUUUCAACAGGAAAAA